CCAGACUCCUACGGGAGGCAGCAGUCGGGAAUAUUGCGCAAUGGAGGAAACUCUGACGCAGUGACGCCGCGUAUAGGAGGAAGGUUUUCGGAUUGUAAACUAUUGUCCACAGGGAAGAUAAAAGACUGUACCUGUGAAGAAAGCUCCGGCUAACUACGUGCCAGCAGCCGCGGUAAUACGUAGGGAGCGAGCGUUGUCCGGAAUUACUGGGUGUAAAGGGAGCGUAGGCGGGACUGCAAGUUGGGUGUCAAAUCUACCGGCUCAACCGGUAGCCGCACUCAAAACUGCAGUUCUUGAGUGAAGUAGAGGCAGGCGGAAUUCCUAGUGUAGCGGUGAAAUGCGUAGAUAUUAGGAGGAACACCAGUGGCGAAGGCGGCUUACUGGACUGUAACUGACGUUGAGGCUCGAAAGCGUGGGGAGCAAACAGGAUUAGAUACCCGGGUAC
rnacentral:rRNA from 1 species